rnacentral:lncRNA from 1 species
AGUGGGCAGGCCAUGUCCAGCAUAGACCCAAUACAACAAUAGUUAGGGGAUGCCAUUUGCUUCAAGUGUAAAGCCCUAAAAGUGCCAGUGGAAGGCCCAAAUGAAUAUGGAUGGAAGUAAUAAGAAGAGAUAUGGGGACUAAAGGUAUGACCCUUGAUAGAGUAGAAUGACAGAAUACGAUAUGUAAACAACCCCAAAUAGUUGGGAUAAGAAUCUGAUGAUGAUAAUGAUGAUGAUCAUGAUUUAGACAUUGUUUUUAUCUUCAGGUUUCAUUAGUAAUUUUCUAUAUAAAAAAAAGAUUGGGUGUACAUUGGGGAUGACUUGGUUCAUGGAAAAAAG